GCCGGUGUGUCGGAAUGGCAGACGAUGCAGACUCAAAAUCUGUUGUGGUUACCCACGUGCGGGUUCAAGUCCCGCCACCGGCA
rnacentral:tRNA from 1 species